rnacentral:rRNA from 1 species
AGAGUUUGAUCCUGGCUCAAGACGAACGCUGGCGGUGUGCUUCACACAUGCAAGUCGAACGAGGUAGCAAUACCUAGUGGCGGACGGGUGAGUAACGCGUGGGAAUCUGCCUUUAGAUGGGGGAUAACGAGCCGAAAGGUUCGCUAAUACCGCAUAUGCCGCAAGGUGAAAGGAGUAAUCCGUCUAAAGAUGAGCCCGCGUCCGAUUAGCUAGUUGGUGGGGUAAAGGCCUACCAAGGCGACGAUCGGUAGCUGGUCUGAGAGGAUGAUCAGCCACAAUGGGACUGAGACACGGCCCAUACUCCUACGGGAGGCAGCAGUGGAGAAUUUUACGCAAUGGGCGAAAGCCUGACGUAGCGACACCGCGUGAGCGAAGAAGCCCCUUGGGGUGUAAAGCUCUGUCAGCUGGAACGAAGAAAAUGACGGUACCAGCAGAGGAAGCAUCGGCUAACUACGUGCCAGCAGCCGCGGUAAGACGUAGGAUGCAAGCGUUGUCCGGAUUUAUUGGGCGUAAAGAGUUCGUAGGUGGUUUGUUAAGUUUGGUGUUAAAGAUUGGGGCUCAACCCUGAAACUGCACUGAAUACUGGCAGACUCGAGUGUGGUAGAGGCUAGUGGAAUUGCCAGUGUAGCGGUGAAAUGCGU